rnacentral:rRNA from 1 species
UGACUNGAGUGCAGAAGGGGAGAGUGGAAUUCCAUGUGUAGCGGUGAAAUGCGUAGAUAUAUGGAGGAACACCAGUGGCGAAAGCGGCUCUCUGGUCUGUCACUGACGCUGAGGCUCGAAAGCGUGGGUAGCGAACAGGAUUAGAUACCCUGGUAGUCCACGCCGUAAACGAUGAGUGCUAGGUGUAGGCCCUUUCCGGGGCUUAGUGCCGGAGCUAACGCAAUAAGCACUCCGCCUGGGGAGUACGACCGCAAGGUUGAAACUCAAAGGAAUUGACGGGGGCCCGCACAAGCGGUGGAGCAUGUGGUUUAAUUCGAAGCAACGCGAAGAACCUUACCAGGUCUUGACAUCCCGAUGCUAUUCUUAGAGAUAGGAAGUUACUUCGGUACAUCGGAGACAGGUGGUGCAUGGUUGUCGUCAGCUCGUGUCGUGAGAUGUUGGGUUAAGUCCCGCAACGAGCGCAACCCUUAUUGUUAGUUGCCAUCAUUAAGUUGGGCACUCUAGCGAGACUGCCGGUAAUAAACCGGAGGAAGGUGGGGAUGACGUCAAAUCAUCAUGCCCCUUAUGACCUGGGCUACACACGUGCUACAAUGGUCGGUACAACGAGUUGCGAGCCGGUGACGGCAAGCUAAUCUCUGAAAGCCGAUCUCAGUUCGGAUUGGAGGCUGCAACUCGCCUCCAUGAAGUCGGAAUCGCUAGUAAUCGCGGAUCAGCACGCCGCGGUGAAUACGUUCCCGGGCCUUGUACACACCGCCCGUCACACCACGAGAGUUUGUAACACCCGAAGUCGGUGAGGUAACCUUUUAGGGGCCAGCCGCCUAAGGUGGGANGGA